GAUGAACGCUGGCGGCGUGCUUAACACAUGCAAGUCGAACGAAGCACUCUAUUUGAUUUUCUUCGGAAAUGAAGAUUUUGUGACUGAGUGGCGGACGGGUGAGUAACGCGUGGGUAACCUGCCUCAUACAGGGGGAUAACAGUUGGAAACGACUGCUAAUACCGCAUAAGCGCACAGGAUUGCAUGAUCCGGUGUGAAAAACUCCGGUGGUAUGAGAUGGACCCGCGUCUGAUUAGCCAGUUGGCAGGGUAACGGCCUACCAAAGCGACGAUCAGUAGCCGACCUGAGAGGGUGACUGGCCACAUUGGGACUGAGACACGGCCCAAACUCCUACGGGAGGCAGCAGUGGGGAAUAUUGCACAAUGGGGGAAACCCUGAUGCAGCGACGCCGCGUGAGCGAAGAAGUAUUUCGGUAUGUAAAGCUCUAUCAGCAGGGAAGAAGAAU
rnacentral:rRNA from 1 species